UACGUAGGGGGCGAGCGUUGUCCGGAUUUAUUGGGCGUAAAGAGCUCGUAGGCGGUUUGGCAAGUCGGGUGUGAAAACUCCGGGCUCAACUCGGAGACGCCACUCGAUACUGCUAUGACUCGAGUCCGGUAGGGGAGUGCGGAAUUCCUGGUGUAGCGGUGAAAUGCGCAGAUAUCAGGAGGAACACCGGUGGCGAAGGCGGAUCUCUGGGCCUUACCUGACGCUCAGGCACGAAAGCUAGGGGAGCGAACAGG
rnacentral:rRNA from 1 species